rnacentral:rRNA from 1 species
UACAGAGGGGGCAAGCGUUAUUCGGAAUUAUUGGGCGUAAAGGGCGCGUAGGCGGCUUGGCAAGUGGAAGGUGAAAUCCCUCGGCUUAACCGAGGAACUGCCCUCCAAACUGCUUUGCUUGAGGCCGGGAGAGGUGAGUGGAAUUCCCAGUGUAGCGGUGAAAUGCGUAGAUAUUGGGAGGAACACCGGUGGCGAAGGCGGCAUCCUGGACCGGCAUUGACGCUGAGGCGCGAAAGCUAGGGGAGCAAACAGG